rnacentral:rRNA from 1 species
GAAACUCAAAGGAAUUGACGGGGACCCGCACAAGCGGUGGAGCAUGUGGUUUAAUUCGAAGCAACGCGAAGAACCUUACCAAAUCUUGACAUCCUUUGAAAACUCUAGAGAUAGAGCCUUCCCCUUCGGGGGACAAAGUGACAGGUGGUGCAUGGUUGUCGUCAGCUCGUGUCGUGAGAUGUUGGGUUAAGUCCCGCAACGAGCGCAACCCUUAAGCUUAGUUGCCAUCAUUAAGUUGGGCACUCUAGGUUGACUGCCGGUGACAAACCGGAGGAAGGUGGGGAUGACGUCAAAUCAUCAUGCCCCUUAUGAUUUGGGCUACACACGUGCUACAAUGGACAAUACAAAGGGCAGCUAAACCGCGAGGUCAWGCAAAUCCCAUAAAGUUGUUCUCAGUUCGGAUUGUAGUCUGCAACUCGACUACAUGAAGCUGGAAUCGCUAGUAAUCGUAGAUCAGCAUGCUACGGUGAAUACGUUCCCGGGUCUUGUACACACCGCCCGUCACACCACGAGAGUUUGUAACACCCGAAGCCGGUGGAGUAACCAUUUGGAGCUAGCCGUCGAAGGUGGGACAAAUGAUUGGGGUGAAGUCGUAACAAGGUAGCCGUAGGG